GUGGCGGAGAUGCGCUGGUGGGAAAGGAGAGCUUGGCUGCCAAUGGGUGCAGAACACCCAUUAAAUUUUUCCCCAUGGGUGCUCCAG